CUGUGAGGUAGGCUGACGCCAUGGCACUGUAGCCCCGGCAACAGAGUGAGACUAUGUCUCAAAAAAGAAAACUUAGAGUAAAUGUUAAACAUGAAGGACAUUUGUCUCCCAGGGUUUCAUUUUGUUUGGGGGGAGAGUAGACUUUAUCACACUUGAAUGGUAUCCACAGCAUAGCAGAGACCUGGAUAGUCUCUAUAGUUUAAUCACAUUCUAAAUAUUCAACUUUAGAAAUAACCCCCAUUAAACACCCAGAUUAACAGGAAUUUCCCCAAACCAGCAGCCUUUAUUGCAGUGGCUGCUGCAUCUGUUAGGUUCAUGUUGUCUGUGCUUUCCCCCACCCAAGCUUCCGUUUCAUGAGCUUUUCACUGUUUUGCUCUACUUUUCCUUUCUCUUUUUAAAACCUCUACAUUGGCCACCCAGGACUUAUAAGAAACAUUUCCUGGUAACGUAUCUGAAACGGGAAUAAACUGCACAGGAGUGUGAGAGCCGUGAGCAUGUAUUUAAAAUCACUCUCCACGAGUAAAGGGUUCUUGUUCUUUUGACCCUGUGCCAAAAUAGAUCUUUUCUUUCUGUUGAAGAGAUUGAUAAGGUCUCUGGGGUGAGGGCAGAGGGGAUCACUAUUAUGUAGUGUGGUUGGUUUAAAUUAAAUUCUCACACCACUUUAUAGAUGCUAUUUUUCACUCAUCCUUGAUUUGGAGAUUAUAUUUAUAUCAUGCAAAUGGAUUCCUUACUCCUUUUCAAAACUGACAUUUAAAAAAAAUAUAUAAAACAUAUCACAUUAGUGAAAAUUUGCUUCCGAGUAGACAACACAGAUUAAACUUUUAUAUAUGGUCUUCAGAUUUAUCUUGAGUAUUCAAAAAUGAGAAAUAAAGGGGUUGGGGUCCCAGUAGUAAAGUGUUACCGUGCAAAGUGCGCUGUGUAAUAAACACGGAGGCGGAUUCAGUGGAUUUGUCUUAUUCUUCAGCUUCCAUUAAGUAGAAGCUUGUCUUUCCCUCCUCCCACCUUCGGGAGCUCCCCUUCCCUCCACUCCCACCCAAGUAGAAGCGCACGAACAGCCUGAGACUGAAGGACAGGCUUUCUAAAAUCUGGGGUAUUUUUUAGCAAAAUGUCUAUGAAAAUGAGGUCUGUCACCAUUAAUAUCCUUUAAGUUGAGAUAAAAGCAAUUUUUCUUUUUCAUAUUGCCCAGUUGUCAAGAAAUUCUAUUCUUUUCAAUGACAUAAAUUAACAGGUUUGGCUAAAGCCAAGAAAAAUACAAAAUGUCACAUUUUAGCCCUAGUGGCCGGUUUUCAAAGGGUGCGUUGGUGUGAACACCUUGUCAGCUGCUAGGUCUUAUAAAUAAGUAUUUUUCUGCCCCCAUCACAGACAAAUACCGAGAAGUUCUUUCUUCUCACAAGCCUAGGGGAUGAUGUUUUUGUUUUUGGUGUCUCUGUGCCUGGUAGGGAACAUGAUUUUUGUAUAUGAAAUUUGGGGACAAAUGAAAAUAACUCUUUCUCUUUCCUGGAAGGGUUAAUGCCCUAACUAGCUUCAGAUUGGUUCACAUGAAUCUUAAAAUUACUUUUCUGGUCACGCACACUGAAGGUCUAAGCAUUUGUGAAAUGUCUUUUUUCCCCCUCUUGAUGCUGUUCUCUUUCGGCUGUCUUAAUUACACAGGGGUUGAGAAACCAAAUUAAAAUUAGGCGUGUCUGGUAAACAGUGAUCACGUUGCAUGCUUUUAGCUUUGCUUGUUUGGAGUUACUUCUCCUCCCUCACUAGCUUCCCUCCUCACUUUUUUUAAAAAAGGAAAUAUCAUAAGCUCUUUUAGAAAUACUCACAGGAAGUGAGUAUCCACACGCUGGUUACUCACCAGUCACCGAGUGUUAGCAGGUGGCGAAUGCUACUGCAGCCCUCCCAGAUAGAUUUAAAAACUGCCCCCCGAGCAGAGGAUAAAACGCAGGGUGCGUAGACCAAAAGGUUUUUGUAUACGGAGGGAGUUGUGAGAGGAAGUUGGUCAUUGCCUGUCAUCUCGAGGGAUGGUGAUUCAGGGCGCUGUGGUGGAGUCAGGAGGCACGUGGCUGCCAUCGCUGAGGUUUCUGCAGUCAGAGAGCAGGCUGUCUUCUAAAAAUUAACGCUCCCUCCACCCCCAACAAUGAUUCUUUUGCAGUGAAUCACUUCCAGAAAUGAAUAGCCACAGUUUUUUGGAAUGAACAUUGUGAAAUCCCUCGUUUAUAAUGGCAGGUUUUCAGUUGGUGGUUUUAUCAGACAGAAUUUCUCAAGAACAAAACGAAACCUUCUCUUUUAAAAGAAAGAAAGUACUAUCGAUACAGAAACCAAAAGUAUUUCCAGUCUCCUGCCGGAGAACUGUCACGGCAGAUCUCUGUACCUAUACUUAGAGAUAUAUGUCCUUAUAUUUGCCUGAAUAUGUGAGUUCUUGGAAGUGUGGAUUCAAGGCCAGGAGCCGGUGAUUUCCUAUGCAGAAAGUCGCUAACUACAAGAAACGUUAUACUCGGACAAGUCCAGUCUGCACUUGAGGGUUCUUUGUGUGACUGACCGUUCAGCGACUUGCUUUCUACUAUAAGACAGUGUGGAAUACAACUAUGGCUUUUUCUGACCAUUUCUUUUACUGGCCAACCUCUUGGAUUUUAAUCCCAACUCUCAAGGAUCUUCCCAACACAUUAUGUUCCUGUUGUGAUACCAUCUUGAAGUGCACGAGCUUCUGGGUCACUAAAGAACAUGUUCAAUAUCACUUGGCUUAAAUGUUAUGCCUGCGAAUCACAAAUCGUUUUCUUCACCAGUCAGUUCCAGCCCACGUACCUGGACCAUAUCUUCCCCAUUGGCCAAUAAGCACGGCAUGCUCUGUGGCCCCGUAAUCAUUAACUUAGAAAUUGCAGCCGGUAUAACUUGACAGGACAGAGUUUUCUUCAGCAGACUGCUGAGUCACUCAACCUCUUGGUGAGUAAAACGUGAGUUUUUUGAGAUUUAAGCCCCUCGGAAGGACACCUCCUUGUUGCUGCCAUGAAGGGACUCCCAGUUUCUGUGGCAGGUCACAUCAGCAAGACAACUGAAGUAUCUGCUUGAACAAUCAGUUUUCAGAAAUGAAGACCUCUAUAACACUGGCUUCCUCUCUUGUGAUGUGGUGAAAGAUGCAUUCCAGCUGCGAAGUUAGACCGAGGAGAAGAGAAUGCAAAGUGGUUUCAAUUCUUCUCAAUUGCCUCUGCCUGAUUCCAAAGCAGUAAAGGAAGAUUGUACUUGCAGACUGGUGCUGCCCUCUGCAGGCCUCCUGUGGUAUGUUGCUGCUGCAGCGUGAGGUUGCAACACCAGUUUGAAAAUAGAAACCUCCUCCUGUCUUCUGUGCAGGGUGCUUUCAUGCUCUUUUUCUGUGGUUGGAUCUGUAGGUUUAUCCCAUGUUUUAUUUUAUAAGAUGUCUUGCUGAGCAAACCUUGCUGAUCUGCCUCAUGUCAGUGGAUGGUUUCGUUAGCAAUGGCCACACCUCACAUUUACCCCAGUACAGAGAGAACACCAGGGUGAGGAGGUGUGUGCUGCUCACUGUACAGCAACUUUCCCAACUUAUGUGCCUCAAGCAGGAAGAAGAGGGUGCUUUUUAUUUCUCAUUUUUUAAACGUGCAUCUGUUUAUGACACUAGUGGAGGAACGUGCUUAAGAGAAAACAACUGACUUUUACUUCUGCUCUUGCUCUGGGAGUUUUCCUAGGAGUUCUUGAUGCCAUUUAAAUUUCAAGUGCUGAUCUUCUGAACAAAUGCCUCCUGAGGAUCUCUGUGCCUGGAAAAUAUCCAUCAGCAGAUUGCCUUUACACUCCUAUUCAACGAGCUGUUGCCUCUUUGAUGAAAUGAUUGCUACACAUCCAUCGCCCUGGUGUUCUGUUCCCUCAUUUACAGAGAUGAAAAAACGAGUCUAGCAGCAACAGAUAUGUGUUGUGGAUGCUUCUCCACUAUAAAGGAUGAGUUUGUGCUGGGAUCUCCUUAUGAAGUGAAAACCAACCACACCUAUACGGAGGAAGAGCAUUAAUCAGACCCAAGCUAAACAGCCUGCACCUCCUGACCGAUGAGCACUGAAGCCACUUGAAAUGGUCAGUCACAGGCAUAUUGUAACGGGAUGUUCCUCCCAUACGCACAACAAGAUUUUAAAAUGAGGAAAGAUUUAAAAUGUCUGAGGAAAGCCAGAAGGAGAAACUAAAGGUCAGUUAAUUUAUUUAAGCAAAGAGAACAAACUUAAGUGAAUGGUACAGCUAGGAUUAGAACCCAUUUUUCACAAGGUAACAGUCUCAUGAUAAAGAAAAAGUGGGGAGUGUUUUAAGGUUAAGUAAGACCAAAGAGUCUUAGUGAGUCAACCUUGAUGUUACCUGGGUUCGAAAACCAAAACUAUAAAAGACAUUUUUUGGAGAGUGUGGGAAAAGUAUGAAUAUGGACUGGAUAUUGGAUGGUACUAAGGAAUUCCUAAUUGUCUUAGGUAUGAUAAGGUAUAAUUAUAUAGAAGAAUGGCCUCAUAUUUUUAGAAGUACCUCACUUUUUUUAAACUCACACUUAAGUAGUUAGGAGCAGUCUCUGGGUGGCUGUCAAAUUAUUUUAAAAUAAUUGAAUAAAAAAUAUACAUAUAUAUUAUAUAUAGUUACCAUAAUUAAGGCAAAAAGGAAUAAUUGUUGAAUUUAGGUGGUAUGAGUUAGGCAUUCAUUUUAUUGCCCUUCAAAUUUAUGUCUGAAAUUUUUCAUAACGGUUUUUUUAAAAAUGCACAUCCCUGUAGUUAGGUGGCCUGGCUACAUUAAAUAGCUUCCUGGAUUCCUAGAAGAUGAAAGGGAAUGACAGUAGGCUGCCUCGUAAGAUAUCAAGAACUAUACCAUGAGGGAGAGAAGAACUGUGGUAAAAAAUAAUUUGUUAAGGAGAACUAAGAGUACAAAGCCUUACCUUUGGCGUAGACACGGGAGGAGAAUCUUAAGUAAACCUAACAGAAAUCCCUAACUCAUAAAUGCAAUUUAAGGAAUUCCAUUCUGGAAAAAAAUUAGCAUCUCACUAGUAUUAAUGUGUUACUUUGCCUCUGAGCUAGUCCUCCAUAGACCCCAAAAUCUCAGUACUCUUUUGAUCCAACAAAAUUGUCCCUAAUGGAAAGUAACAGGGUUGGGAAAGUACUAGGGUUAGGAAUGCAUUUUCUUCAACUUAUACCCAAACACUCACUUCCUUUGCACCAUUUGCAUGUAUGUUGUGAGGUUUUUAAGCACCAUUUCUAGUUGUCCUCCACCUGCCUGGGUACUUGAUCACAGGAUGCCUCAGGCUUCUCCUGCCAUUGCAUCUUUAUCCACGCAAAGGAUUUUCCUUGACUUCCCACCAGGAGUAACAGGGUUAAUGCCUGCCCUCGCCUCUAAAGGGUAAAACCGAACAUUUGUCUGGGCAACCCAAGAACAAGGAGAGUCCUGCGCGUGGCCCCCCUCCCCCCGGAAACAACACCAAAUUUGGUGAUGUCAGUAUAUGAAUAUAUGAAAUUUGCUCAAGCUCUGUCUGUUUAGACCACUAAGUAAAUAACUUACAACCAGGUUUCAGCUUUCCUUUCUAGGUUGCCUUGAGUUUAUUGUAAGACAGCAUUCUAAAGAAAGAACAGAUCAUAAAGCUUCUUCAGGAAGCUGGUUUCAUAUGGUGGUUUAGAUUUAAAUAGUGAUUGUCUAGCACCAUUUGAAAUCAGUGUUCUUGGGGGAGACCAACUGCGCUGCCAGCGACAAAGAAAUGAAUGGGACAGCCCUGAAGUAUUUGAAAGCAAAGACCAAACGGCUGUGAGAACUUGCCUUACGUGUGUAGCCAACCCAUUCCUUAUUCCCGCCAACAGUGGUGUUAUAUCGAACAAAUUACGGUCAGCCCUCUGCAUCUGUGGAUUCAACCAACCAUGAUAGAAAGUAUUUUUAAAAAAAUAUGUUUGUACUGAACAUGUACAGGC